rnacentral:rRNA from 1 species
AUGAACGCUAGCUACAGGCUUAACACAUGCAAGUCGAGGGGCAGCGGGAUUGAAGCUUGCUUCAAUUGCCGGCGACCGGCGCACGGGUGAGUAACGCGUAUCCAACCCUCCGUACACUCAGGGUUAGCCUUUCGAAAGAAAGAUUAAUACCUGAUAGUAUCUUAAGCACACAUGUAAUUAAGAUUAAAGAUUUAUCGGUGUACGAUGGGGAUGCGUUCCAUUAGGUAGUAGGCGGGGUAACGGCCCACCUAGCCAACGAUGGAUAGGGGUUCUGAGAGGAAGGUCCCCCACAUUGGAACUGAGACACGGUCCAGACUCCUACGGGAGGCAGCAGUGAGGAAUAUUGGUCAAUGGACGAGAGUCUGAACCAGCCAAGUAGCGUGAAGGAUGAAGGUCCUACGGAUUGUAAACUUCUUUUAUAAGGGAAUAAACCCUCCCACGUGUGGGAGCUUGUAUGUACCUUAUGAAUAAGCAUCGGCUAACUCCGUGCCAGCAGCCGCGGUAAUACGGAGGAUGCGAGCGUUAUCCGGAUUUAUUGGGUUUAAAGGGAGCGCAGACGGGUCGUUAAGUCAGCUGUGAAAGUUUGGGGCUCAACCUAAAAAUUGCAGUUGAUACUGGCGUCCUUGAGUGCGGUUGAGGUGUGCGGAAUUCGUGGUGUAGAGGUGAAAUGCUUAGAUAUCACGAAGAACUCCGAUUGCGAAGGCAGCACACUAAUCCGUAACUGACGUUCAUGCUCGAAAGUGUGGGUAUCAAACAGGAUUAGAUACCCUGGUAGUCCACACGGUAAACGAUGGAUACUCGCUGUUGGCGAUAUACUGUCAGCGGCUUAGCGAAAGCGUUAAGUAUCCCACCUGGGGAGUACGCCGGCAACGGUGCAACUCAAAGGAAUUGACGG